rnacentral:ncRNA from 1 species
UGAUAGCGAAGAAGCGGUAGUUGCUGCUGCAGGAGCAGGUAAUAUCGUGGAGCGAAUGUCAAGAUCAAAGAAUCUGGCGACAA